rnacentral:rRNA from 1 species
AACGAACGCUGGCGGCGCGCCUAAUACAUGCAAGUCGAGCGAGAAGACGUAGCAAUACGUUUGUAAAGCGGCGAACAGGUGAGGAAUACAUGGGUAACCUACCCUCGAGUGGGGAAUAACUAGCCGAAAGGUUAGCUAAUACCGCGUACGCUCCUUGGACUUCGGUUCAGGGAGGAAAGCGAUACCAUGGGUAUCGCGCUCUUGGAUGGGCUCAUGUCCUAUCAGCUUGUUGGUGAGGUAACGGCUCACCAAGGCUUCGACGGGUAGCUGGUCUGAGAGGACGAUCAGCCACACUGGCACUGCGACACGGGCCAGACUCCUACGGGAGGCAGCAGUAAGGAAUAUUGCGCAAUGGGCGAAAGCCUGACGCAGCGACGCCGCGUGGGGGAGUGAAGGUCUUCGGAUUGU